rnacentral:lncRNA from 1 species
UCUGACUGAGACACGGGUCUGACACCUGUGGAGGGCGGGAGGGAAGGAGGGAUUGGGCAGGAAGCACCCCAGUGGGGCUCUACAGGUCUCUUCUGCGUGUGUUACCUCGUCUGGUCCUCACUGCAACCCAAUGACAUAGGAGUCAUCUACCCGUAAUAGAGCUGGGAAAACAGGCUCUGGGAAAUUGAAUCCAAAUCUAAAAGAUGCCAGGUGUGAUUUAAGAUGACAAAAAGGAAGAAGAGAAGAAUCAA